rnacentral:rRNA from 1 species
UAGAGGAAGUAAAAGUCGUAACAAGGUUUCCGUAGAUGCACCUGCGGAAGGAUCAUUACCGAGUGCGGGUCCUUUGGGCCCAACCUCCCAUCCGUGUCUAUUAUACCCUGUUGCUUCGGCGGGCCCGCCGCUUGUCGGCCGCCGGGAUGCUCGUUUUGCCCCCCGGGCCCGUGCCCGCCGGAGACCCCAACACGAACACUGUCUGAAAGCGUGCAGUCUGAGUUGAUUGAAUGCAAUCAGUUAAAACUUUCAACAAUGGAUCUCUUGGUUCCGGCAUCGAUGAAGAACGCAGCGAUAUGCGAUAACUAAUGUGAAUUGCAGAAUUCAGUGAAUCAUCGAGUCUUUGAACGCACAUUGCGCCCCCUGGUAUUCCGGGGGGCAUGCCUGUCCGAGCGUCAUUGCUGCCCUCAAGCCCGGCUUGUGUGUUGGGUCGCCGUCCCCCUCUCCGGGGGGACGGGCCCGAAAGGCAGCGGCGGCACCGCGUCCGAUCCUCGAGCGUAUGGGGCUUUGUCACAUGCUCUGUAGGAUUGGCCGGCGCCUGCCGACGUUUUCCAACCAUUUUUUCCAGGUUGACCUCGGAUCAGGUAGGGAGACCCGCUGAACUUAAGCAUAUCAAUAGACUCGCUGAUAAUGCCUGCU